rnacentral:tRNA from 1 species
ACCUGGGUGGCUCAGUUGGUUGAGUGUCUGACUUUGGCUCAGGUCAUGAUCUUGUGGUUUGUGGGUUUGAGCCCCACAUUGGGCU